GAUGAACGCUGGCGGCGUGCCUAAUACAUGCAAGUCGAGCGAACGGACGAUAAUCUUGCUUCUCUGAUGUUAGCGGCGGACGGGUGAGUAACACGUGUAUAACCUACCUAUAAGACUGGGAUAACUUCGGGAAACCGGAGCUAAUACCGGAUGAUAUUUUGAACCGCAUGGUUCAAAAGUGAAAGUCGGUCUUUCUGUCAGUAAUCGCUGGAUCUCCGCUGCUUUAGCUAGUUGGUAAGGUAACGGCUUACCAAGGCAAGGAUGCAUAGCCGACCUGACAGGGGGGUAGGCCACACUGGAACUGAGACACGGUCCAGAGUCCUAAGGGAGGCAGCAGUCGGGAAUCUUAGGCAAUAGGCGAAAGCCUGACGGAGCAGCGCCGCGUGAGUGAUGAAGGUCUUCGGAGCGUAAAACUCUGUUAUGAGGGAAGAACAUAUGUGUACGUAGAUGUGCACAUCUUGACGGUACCUAAUCAGAAAGCCACGGCUAACUACGUG
rnacentral:rRNA from 1 species